UACGAGUGCUCCAAGCGUUAUCCGGAAUCAUUGGGCGUAAAGGGUGUGUAGGUUGUUAUGUUAGUCUUUUGUUAAAUUCUUCGGCUUAACCGGGGGCAUGCAAAGGAAACGGCAUAACUAGAGGAUGCGAGAGGUGAAUGGAACUCAUGGAGUAGGGGUGAAAUCCGUUGAUAUCAUGGGGAACACCGAAAGCGAAGGCAGCACACUGGCGCACUCCUGACACUGAAACACGAAAGCGUGGGUAGCGAAUGGG
rnacentral:rRNA from 1 species